rnacentral:tRNA from 1 species
ACCUGAGUGGUUCAGUGGUUGAGCAUCUGCCUUUGGAUCAGGGCAUGAUCCCAGGGUUCUGGGAUCAAGUCCCACCUCGGGCU